rnacentral:rRNA from 1 species
UACAGAGGUCUCAAGCGUUGUUCGGAAUCACUGGGCGUAAAGCGCACGUAGGCGGAUUGUUAAGUCGGGGGUGAAAUCCUGGAGCUCAACUCCAGAACUGCCUUCGAUACUGGCGAUCUUGAGUCCGGGAGAGGUGAGUGGAACUCCGAGUGUAGAGGUGAAAUUCGUAGAUAUUCGGAAGAACACCAGUGGCGAAGGCGGCUCACUGGCCCGGUACUGACGCUGAGGUGCGAAAGCGUGGGGAGCAAACAGG